UUACAUCCAAUCAUGACGUUGUGUUGCCUUGAUGCUUCUAAACGGAUAUUAUAUAUAUAUAUAAAAUCACAACAUUCACUUUGAGCCUAGGGGCGGCCAUGAAUCAAGCUGACGGUGUUGAAAUACGACGCCUAUGAUACGACUAUUUAAGUUCAUUACACAGGUUUCAUGUGCUAUUCGUGUUCCUACACGUACGAUGACGGUCGCAACGGAAUUGAAUGUCUCAACAAACCGGGAGCCUUAGGACCGAGAUACACUGUAAAAUGCGGAAACCACUGCAUAACAGCAGAGCAAUGGGAUAUUCGACACAAGCGAAUCAACUCAUUUUUUCGUGGAUGCUCUCCGAACAUUGGCAACAAAUGUACCCCGGAUGUGUGGCACAUAUCGUGCGUGACGUCAUGUCGAGGAGACUACUGCAACAGAGAUUUGUUCGUCGAUACGAAAAACCCACCAGUUAUGAAUACAUGCAAAGAUUUUUACGGGUGCAGUGACGGAGUUACACGAAUGACGUCACAGUACUCUAUCGCGUUCGUGUGUGUGUUAUUAGUGAACAUACUGUACUUCGCCUGGUGUUAACGGUGUUUGUAUCUAUAAUGCUAGAUUCAGACUACCAGCUGUCACAACGGAUUUGGCCAAUUCGACAGUUGCGUUGUAAUCCCCCCCCCCCCCCCCCCCCACCACCACACACACCACUACUAACUUAUGACGGGUGCGCUCAGACCAACAACUAAUUGUUCGUAGGCGUUGCCAUGGGCGGAUCCAAGGGGGGGGGGGACCAGGGGGACGCGUCCCCCCCCCCAAAAUUGUUCAAGUGCCCUCAAAAUG
rnacentral:misc_RNA from 1 species